AGAGAUGAUACAGUAGAGUUAAUAAGGACUACCGAUACGAUUUUGUGGUUGUGGGCUAAGGAUCAUAUUGAAAGUUUGGUUCCAACUUGUUGAGAAUAUUAUUUGGAAAGUAUGGAAAAGGGGUUGAUGCACUUGACUAUGUUGAAGCAACAGAUGAGAGCAUGAUUUUCAAUCAAUUAGAAUUGUUUUUUUAGUUUACUUAAAUGAUGCAGAAUCACUCAACUUUUUGAUUUUUUCUUAACGUAUUUAUAAUUAUUUUUGUAUUCAAUAUAAUAUAUAGUAUUUUACAUGCCA